UACGGGGGGGGGUAAGCGUUGUUCGGAAUUACUGGGCGUAAAGGGCUCGUAGGCGGCCAACUAAGUCAGACGUGAAAUCCCUCAGCUUAACUGGGGAACUGCGUCUGAUACUGGAUGGCUUGGAUCCGGGAGAGGGAUGCGGAAUUCCAGGUGUAGCGGUGAAAUGCGUAGAUAUCUGGAGGAACACCGGUGGCGAAGGCGGCAUCCUGGACCGGUAUUGACGCUGAGGAGCGAAAGCCAGGGGAGCAAAGCGGG
rnacentral:rRNA from 1 species